GAGCAAACAGGAUUAGAUACCCUGGUAGUCCACGCCGUAAACGAUGAGUGCUAGGUGUUGGGUCCUUUCCGGGACUCAGUGCCGCAGCUAACGCAUUAAGCACUCCGCCUGGGGAGUACGACCGCAAGGUUGAAACUCAAAGGAAUUGACGGGGGCCCGCACAAGCGGUGGAGCAUGUGGUUUAAUUCGAGGCAACGCGAAGAACCUUACCAGGUCUUGACAUCCCUCUGACCGCUCUAGAGAUAGAGUUUUCCUUCGGGACAGAGGUGACAGGUGGUGCAUGGUUGUCGUCAGCUCGUGUCGUGAGAUGUUGGGUUAAGUCCCGCAACGAGCGCAACCCCUAUUGUUAGUUGCCAUCAUUGAGUUGGGCACUCUAGCGAGACUGCCGGUAAUAAACCGGAGGAAGGUGGGGAUGACGUCAAAUCAUCAUGCCCCUUAUGACCUGGGCUACACACGUGCUACAAUGGCUGGUACAACGAGUCGCGAGUCGGUGACGGCAAGCUAAUCUCUUAAAGCCAGUCUCAGUUCGGAUUGUAGGCUGCAACUCGCCUACAUGAAGUCGGAAUCGCUAGUAAUCGCGGAUCAGCACGCCGCGGUGAAUACGUUCCCGGGCCUUGUACACACCGCCCGUCACACCACGAGAGUUUGUAACACCCGAAGUCGGUGAGGUAACCAUUNGGAGCCAGCC
rnacentral:rRNA from 1 species